GUCCAUGCCGUAAACGUUGGGCACUAGGUGUGGGCUCAUUCCACGAGUUCCGUGCCGCAGCUAACGCAUUAAGUGCCCCGCCUGGGGAGUACGGCCGCAAGGCUAAACUCAAAGGAAUUGACGGGGCCCGCACAAGCGGCGGAGCAUGCGGAUUAAUUCGAUGCAACGCGAAGAACCUUACCAAGGCUUGACAUGCACCGGACGCUGCCAGAGAUGGUGGUUCCGCAAGGUCGGUGCACAGGUGGUGCAUGGUUGUCGU
rnacentral:rRNA from 1 species